AUAUUUCGGAACUGAGUCUAGUUCCUUCGAUAUCAGUGUAAUCUAAUCUAUAUAAAAAAAAUAUUAGAUUACACUGACAUCGAAGGAACUAGACUCAGUUCCGAAAUAU